CAAUCAAAUCAUACUGAAAACACCAGUUCUCAUUUGAUAAGUGAAGUUAAGCAGUGUCAAGCCUGGUCAGUACUUAGAUGGGGGACUGCUUGGGAACACCAGGU